rnacentral:rRNA from 1 species
AACGCGAAGAACCUUACCUACCCUUGACAUGUACGGAAUGCUGAAGAGAUUUGGCAGUGCUCGAAAGAGAACCGUAACACAGGUGCUGCAUGGCUGUCGUCAGCUCGUGUCGUGAGAUGUUGGGUUAAGUCCCGCAACGAGCGCAACCCUUGUCAUUAGUUGCUACGAAAGGGCAAUCUAAUGAGACUGCCGGUGACAAACCGGAGGAAGGUGGGGAUGACGUCAAGUCCUCAUGGCCCUUAUGGGUAGGGCUUCACACGUCAUACAAUGGUACAUACAGAGGGCCGCCAACCCGCGAGGGGGAGCUAAUCCCAGAAAGUGUAUCGUAGUCCGGAUUGUAGUCUGCAACUCGACUACAUGAAGUUGGAAUCGCUAGUAAUCGCGGAUCAGCAUGUCGCGGUGAAUACGUUCCCGGGCCUUGUACACACCGCUACAGU